ACCAGGUGUGUGUUCUCCCCAGGUCCAGGGUCUGGUGUGUGUGUAGUAACCAGGUGUGUGUAGUAACCAGGUGUGUGUAGUAACCAGGUGGUAACCAGGUGUGUGUUCUCCCCAGGUCCAGGGUCUGGUGUGUGUGUGUAGUAACCAGGUGGUAACCAGGUGUGUGUUCUCCCCAGGUCCAGGGUCUGGUGUGUGUAGUAACCAGGUGUGUGUUCUCCCCAGGUCCAGGGUCUGGUGUGUGUGGUAACCAGGUGUGUGUAGUAACCAGGUGGUAACCAGGUGUGUGUUCUCCCCAGGUCCAGGGUCUGGUGUGUGUGUGUGUGUAGUAACCAGGUGUGUGUAGUAACCAGGUGUGUGUUCUCCCCAGGUCCAGGGUCUGGUGUGUGUGUAGUAACCAGGUCCAGGGUCUGCUCCAGCAGGAAGUGCAUAGUGCCAUGAAACAGUCUGAAUCCAAGAUGGAGUCGCUACUAGAGAGAGUUCAGCUACUGGAAUGUGAACCUAAAUAUGAUCUGGUCAUACGCAGACUGGAGGCUCACAUUAAGAAGGUGAAGAGGAGGGGGAAUAACCCUGUGUUUCUCUAGUUAGAGGGGGAAUAACCCUGUGUU